rnacentral:rRNA from 1 species
UAUUCCUAGGGAGGCAGCAGUGAGGAAUAUUGGUCAAUGGGCUUACGCCUGAACCAGCCAAGUCGCGUGAGGGAAGACUGCCCUAUGGGUUGUAAACCUCUUUUGUCAGGGAGCAACGCCGGCUACGUGUAGCCGGACUGAGAGUACCUGAAGAAAAAGCAUCGGCUAACUCUGUGCCAGCAGCCGCGGUAAUACGGAGGAUGCGAGCGUUAUCCGGAUUUAUUGGGUUUAAAGGGUGCGUAGGCGGAAUGCCAAGUCAGCGGUAA